rnacentral:rRNA from 1 species
UACGUAGGGUGCGAGCGUUGUCCGGAAUUAUUGGGCGUAAAGGGCUCGUAGGCGGUGUGUCGCGUCGGCCGUGAAAACCUGCAGCUUAACUGUGGGCUUGCGGUCGAUACGGGCAUCACUGGAGUUCGGCAGGGGAGACUGGAAUUCCUGGUGUAGCGGUGAAAUGCGCAGAUAUCUGGAGGAACACCGGUGGCGAAGGCGGCAUCCUGGACCGGCAUUGACGCUGAGGCGCGAAAGCUAGGGGAGCAAACGGG